UACGUAGGGGGCGAGCGUUGUCCGGAUUCAUUGGGCGUAAAGAGCUCGUAGGCGGCUUGGCAAGUCGGAUGUGAAAACUCCAGGCUCAACCUGGAGCCUGCAUCCGAUACUGCUAUGGCUAGAGUCCGGUAGGGGAGCGCGGAAUUCCUGGUGUAGCGGUGAAAUGCGCAGAUAUCAGGAGGAACACCGGUGGCGAAGGCGGCGCUCUGGGCCGGAACUGACGCUGAGGCGACGAAAGCGUGGGGAGCAAACAGG
rnacentral:rRNA from 1 species